rnacentral:lncRNA from 1 species
UUUCGGCUCAAUCAUGCCAAUCAUGUCAAUUCCCCACAUAGAGAAAGGCCAUGGUGAUGAAAUCACAUUCAGAAGUGUCGGAGGAAUAUGAAUCUUAUCCGCAUAAAUUUGACACUUGUGACAUUUCUUCACAUACUUGCAACAGUCAGACUCCAUUGUCAGCCAAUAGUAGCCUGCUCUCAACAUCUUCUUAGCCAUGGCAUGUCCAUUGGAAUGA